rnacentral:rRNA from 1 species
AGAGUUUGAUCAUGGCUCAGAUUGAACGCUGGCGGCAGGCCUAACACAUGCAAGUCGAACGGUAACAGGAAGCAGCUUGCUGCUUUGCUGACGAGUGGCGAACGGGUGAGUAAUGUCUGGGAAACUGCCUGAUGGAGGGGGAUAACUACUGGAAACGGUGGCUAAUACCGCAUAACGUCGCAAGACCAAAGAGGGGGACCUUCGGGCCUCUUGCCAUCAGAUGUGCCCAGAUGGGAUUAGCUUGUUGGUGAGGUAACGGCUCACCAAGGCGACGAUCCCUAGCUGGUCUGAGAGGAUGACCAGCCACACUGGAACUGAGACACGGUCCAGACUCCUACGGGAGGCAGCAGUGGGGAAUAUUGCACAAUGGGCGCAAGCCUGAUGCAGCCAUGCCGCGUGUAUGAAGAAGGCCUUCGGGUUGUAAAGUACUUUCAGCGGGGAGGAAGGUGUUGUGGUUAAUAACCACAGCAAUUGACGUUACCCGCAGAAGAAGCACCGGCUAACUCCGUGCCAGCAGCCGCGGUAAUACGGAGGGUGCAAGCGUUAAUCGGAAUUACUGGGCGUAAAGCGCACGCAGGCGGUCUGUCAAGUCGGAUGUGAAAUCCCCGGGCUCAACCUGGGAACUGCAUUCGAAACUGGCAGGCUUGAGUCUUGUAGAGGGGGGUAGAAUUCCAGGUGUAGCGGUGAAAUGCGUAGAGAUCUGGAGGAAUACCGGUGGCGAAGGCGGCCCCCUGGACAAAGACUGACGCUCAGGUGCGAAAGCGUGGGGAGCAAACAGGAUUAGAUACCCUGGUAGUCCACGCCGUAAACGAUGUCUACUUGGAGGUUGUGCCCUUGAGGCGUGGCUUCCGGAGCUAACGCGUUAAGUAGACCGCCUGGGGAGUACGGCCGCAAGGUUAAAACUCAAAUGAAUUGACGGGGGCCCGCACAAGCGGUGGAGCAUGUGGUUUAAUUCGAUGCAACGCGAAGAACCUUACCUGGUCUUGACAUCCACAGAACUUUCCAGAGAUGGAUUGGUGCCUUCGGGAACUGUGAGACAGGUGCUGCAUGGCUGUCGUCAGCUCGUGUUGUGAAAUGUUGGGUUAAGUCCCGCAACGAGCGCAACCCUUAUCCUUUGUUGCCAGCGGUUAGGCCGGGAACUCAAAGGAGACUGCCAGUGAUAAACUGGAGGAAGGUGGGGAUGACGUCAAGUCAUCAUGGCCCUUACGACCAGGGCUACACACGUGCUACAAUGGCGCAUACAAAGAGAAGCGACCUCGCGAGAGCAAGCGGACCUCAUAAAGUGCGUCGUAGUCCGGAUUGGAGUCUGCAACUCGACUCCAUGAAGUCGGAAUCGCUAGUAAUCGUGGAUCAGAAUGCCACGGUGAAUACGUUCCCGGGCCUUGUACACACCGCCCGUCACACCAUGGGAGUGGGUUGCAAAAGAAGUAGGUAGCUUAACCUUCGGGAGGGCGCUUACCACUUUGUGAUUCAUGACUGGGGUGAAGUCGUAACAAGGUAACCGUAGGGGAACCUGCGGUUGGAUCACCU